UACGUAGGGCGCGAGCGUUAAUCGGAAUUACUGGGCGUAAAGCGCGCGCAGGCGGCCCUGCGCGCUGCCGGUGAAAGCUCCCGGCUCACCUGGGAGAGGUUCGGCAGGACGGCAGGGCUGGAGGGCGGUAGAGGGUGGUGGAAUUCCCGGUGUAGUGGUGAAAUGCGUAGAGAUCGGGAGGAACACCCGUAGCGAAGGCGGCCACCUGGGCCGAACCUGACGCUGAGGCGCGAAGGCCAGGGGAGCGAACGGG
rnacentral:rRNA from 1 species